rnacentral:tRNA from 1 species
GGCUCAGUAACUGAGUUGGUUAAAACGUCAGUCUAGUAAACUGGAAGUCGAGUGUUAGAAUCUCUCCAGAGCCU